rnacentral:rRNA from 1 species
UUAAGCAUAUCAAUAAGCGGAGGAAAAGAAACUAACAAGGAUUCCCCUAGUAACUGCGAGUGAAGAGGGAAAAGCUCAAAUUUAAAAUCUGUCAGUCUUUGGCUGUCCGAGUUGUAAUCUAGAGAAGUGUUAUCCGCGCUGGACCGUGUACAAGUCUCCUGGAAUGGAGCGUCAUAGAGGGUGAGAAUCCCGUCUUUGACACGGACUACCAGGGCUUUGUGAUGCGCUCUCAAAGAGUCGAGUUGUUUGGGAAUGCAGCUCAAAAUGGGUGGUAAAUUCCAUCUAAAGCUAAAUAUUGGCGAGAGACCGAUAGCGAACAAGUACCGUGAGGGAAAGAUGAAAAGAACUUUGGAAAGAGAGUUAAACAGUACGUGAAAUUGCUGAAAGGGAAACGCUUGAAGUCAGUCGCGUUGUCCAGGGAUCAACCUUGCUUUUGCUUGGUGUACUUUCUGGUUGGACGGGUCAGCAUCAAUUUUGACUAUUGGAGAAAGAUUAGGGGAAUGUGGCAUCUUCGGAUGUGUUAUAGCCCUUGGUUGUAUACAAUGGUUAGGAUUGAGGAACUCAGCACGCCGCAAGGCCGGGUUUUUAACCACGUACGUGCUUAGGAUGCUGGCAUAAUGGCUUUAAUCGACCCGUCUUGAAACACGGACCAAGGAGUCUAACAUACCUGCGAGUGUUUGGGUGGAAAAACCCGAGCGCGUAAUGAAAGUGAAAGUUGAGAUCCCUGUCAUGGGGAGCAUCGACGCCCGGACCAGAUCUUUUGUGACGGUCCCGCGGUAGAGCAUGUAUGUUGGGACCCGAAAGAUGGUGAACUAUGCCUGAAUAGGGUGAAGCCAGAGGAAACUCUGGUGGAGGCUCGUAGCGAUUCUGACGUGCAAAUCGAUCGUCAAAUUUGGGUAUAGGGGCGAAAGACUAAUCGAACCAUCUAGUAGCUGGUUCCUG